rnacentral:lncRNA from 1 species
AUGUGGGACUUGCUGCCUGGUGUUGGAGGAGAGAGGAGCUUGUUCAGCCUGUCUGGAAUGGCAUGCUCUUCUUGGUUCAGCCCAAAGAUUCAGGCCCAUUCAUCUCUGAAGGUGGCCUGGCUGGCAGCGUGUGAAGUGUUCCGGUAUCUUGGGUGGUGGCAGCUAUUGUCCGGUUUGGUGGUUCCUUCUCUUCCUCCUCAAAUGAAAACUGACUUUCUCCAAAACAACAGUCUCACCUAUCCCAAACAAUGCUUUUCUUUUUAAAUAAUUUUAUUGAGCUCCUUCAGGAUAGGGACUGUCUUGCAUACUUGUAUUUGCAUCCCCAGCACUUGGCACAUUUCCUGGAAUAAAGUAAAUAAUAAAAAGAGAAUAAAAUA